ensembl:lincRNA
UACCCAGGAUGUUCUAAAUUACUUGGGCGUGGCAUGGUUUCUUCUACUAAAAGAGAUUAGGAACUGGUGUGCGGCAUGGAAUUCUCCACUUGGUUUUGUGACUCUCAUGCGCUUUAUUUAUCAUCCAGGCAUUGUUCAUAACAAUUUCAAAAGUGAGUGGGUUAAGGUGAGGAAAGAGAAGACCAGCAGAGGUUAUGGAACAGUGGUCCAGAGUGAGACCACCGGCCAGGUGACCACCAGAACCAAACUUCAGAGCACUUCAUGUCCGAAUAUUCGCUGGAACACUCCCACCUGCAAAGGCAUUACUUUGGGGCCAUGGAUCAUUUACCAUCAAGCUGACAUUCAACCCUGGUUCGGUGAGGAUGAUGAUGAGUUUUGUUUUUUAAGUAUUCAAAAACAAUUUCCACAACGCAGCAUCAGAGAUAAGUGAGAACCAUGCACUUGACUAAAUGUUUGGUUUGUUUUUUUAAAAACGCUAGUUAUAAAAUUCAUUGACAUGAGGGAGAAAAAUUCACAAGGGCCAUUUAUGCAUGGUAUCCUACAGAUGAUUAUAAAAGUUUAUUAAUAUUUUUGAAUUUUUAACUCUGAC